AUACGGAGGGUUCAAGCGUUAUCCGGAUUCAUUGGGUUUAAAGGGUCCGCAGGCGGGAAAAUAAGUCAGUGGUGAAAGCCUACAGCUCAACUGUAGAACUGCCAUUGAUACUGUUUUUCUUGAGUAUAGAUGAAGUGGGCGGAAUAUAUCAUGUAGCGGUGAAAUGCAUAGAUAUGAUAUAGAACACCGAUUGCGAAGGCAGCUCACUAAACUAUUACUGACGCUCAGGGACGAAAGCGUGGGGAGCGAACAGGAUUAGAAACCCUUGUAGUCC
rnacentral:rRNA from 1 species